rnacentral:rRNA from 1 species
UACGUAGGGGGCUAGCGUUGUCCGGAAUUAUUGGGCGUAAAGAGCGUGUAGGCGGUUCGAUAAGUUUGCUGUAAAAGUCGGGGGCUCAACCCCCGAAAGCCGGUGAAUACUGUCGGACUAGAGUACGGAAGAGGCGAGGUGGAAUUCCUGGUGUAGCGGUGAAAUGCGCAGAUAUCAGGAGGAACACCGAUUGCGAAGGCAGCCUCGCUGGGACGUAACUGACGCUGAGACGCGAAAGCGUGGGGAGCAAACAGG